rnacentral:misc_RNA from 1 species
UCCCCGUUGUCCGGGGCAGUCUCUUUAGAAUAUGCAACUAAAGACGAGGGUUGCGCUCGUUCACAGACUUAACUGAACACCUCAAGGCACGAGCUGACGACAACCAUGCAGCACCUGUGUGUGGGUUCCUUACGGCACAACCACCUUUCGGCAGUCUUCCCACCAUGUCAAGUCCAGGUAAGGUUCCUCGUUUACCGUCGAAUUAAACCAGAUGCUCCACCGCUUGUGUAGGUCCCCGUCUAUUCCUUUGAGUUUUAGUCUUGCGACCGUACUACCCAGGCGGGGCACUUAACGCGUUUGCUGAGGCACAGGAGGGGUUGAUUCCUCCUACACCGAGUGCCCAUCGUUUACGGCGUGGACUAC